rnacentral:misc_RNA from 1 species
UUAAGUUCAGCGGGUAGUCCUACCUGAUUUGAGGUCAAAAUGUCAUGAAGUGUUGUCCAAAAGGACGGUUAGAAGCGAAAAGUCCUUGUAAGGUUAUCCUGUGGCGUAGAUAAUUAUCACACCAGGGAUUUGGUCAACCAAAGGUUUUCGCUAAUGCAUUUAAGGAGAGCCGACUUCAAAAGAAGCCCGCAGCCCCCACG